rnacentral:rRNA from 1 species
UACAGAGGGGGCAAGCGUUGUUCGGAAUUACUGGGCGUAAAGGGCGCGUAGGCGGCCUGUUAAGUCGAACGUGAAAUCCCCGGGCUCAACCCGGGAACUGCGUCCGAUACUGGCAGGCUUGAAUUCGGGAGAGGGAUGUGGAAUUCCAGGUGUAGCGGUGAAAUGCGUAGAUAUCUGGAGGAACACCGGUGGCGAAGGCGGCAUCCUGGACCGAUAGUGACGCUGAUGCGCGAAAGCCAGGGGAGCAAACGGG